rnacentral:tRNA from 1 species
GCGAUUUUAGUUUAAUUAAAAUGAUGGUUUGUCUCACCGUUGAUGGUCUGUUGACCAAUUCGCU